CAGACAGAUAUAUAUACUUGAACUUCAGAGACAUAGGCUGAAGUAAAUAGGGCUGAACUUGAAGGAGGCAGGCAGGGACUUGAACUAGAACUAUCAGAAUCCAGUUUGGAAUUAUAAAGGGAGUCCCUGAAAUAUAGAAAAUGCAGUGAACCACCCCACCCAAGUGGUAGGCAGUGGUCCUCAGGCAAAUCUGAGUGAAAGGCUUAUGACGAGCUGUGGCCUGCUAGGUUCUGCUGCCAUGGAAUACCUUUACCGCUCUGGGGGUGACUAGGUGUUAGCCCCCAGCUGCACUAGCAGUGGCUCCAGGUGCCAGGAGAGCAAGACACAUUGAAAGAGGACUUCUUCCUUCCUUCUAGAUCAGAACACCUUGUAGGUGGGGAGUGCCCAGGCAAGAGAAGAGGGGGAUGCAGGCAGAGGCUGAGAUACACAGUGACACAUUUGAUUUAUGUUUACAGGUCCUUCCCCAGACACCUGAAGAGAUGGGGGAAGGAGAAUCAAUUUGGAGAGCCAAGUUUGCCUGACAUUUUGGAGCACACAUUUACCCAGGACCCCAAGUUCCUUGUAGCUGCUAAAUGCUGUACUAGUUCUAAAAUGUAAAUUAGCUUCAAGAUGUUUCCAUGAAGAAAAAUCCCGCCUUCAACUUCUACGUUAUUCAUCCUGCUUUUAGAAAUGACCCUUGCCCUGAUCUGAGGUGGAAGAAAUAAAGGUCUGGUAAAGAAAUGAUAUGCUUAUGGACCUGGAACCAUUUAUUUUAUUUCAACUAAAGGGCUACACUUUUGCUGUUGCAGAACGAAAUUUCCCCCUGUAAGACAGUGAGGGAUGGAGCUACUUGAUGAAAAGGGCUGUUCUAAUUCUACUUCUCCCCGUUUUCAACAGAUCCACUCCUGACCUCCUUCUAGAAGAAAGAAGGGGAGUGGAGAUUCGGAGCAUGCCAUCUCAUUAAGAAUUGUUCCCCAGUGAUAUUUCCUUUGCUGUUUCUCCCCCCACCCUAGGUGGAAUCCCAAGAACUGGUGAGGGGAACCUUAUGCCUCUCAAUUUCUAGAUGAUUGCAAAAACCAGAACUGUCCAGGUAUCAUGCAGUUUGGUUCAGGCUUUGAGGACAGCUCCAAGUUGUGGAAGGCAGGGACAGAUGGGAGCAAGCAAGUUGCAGAGUGACUUGAAACUGAACCCUUUUUUCCCCCGUGGAAAAACUUUUUAUUCACACAAGCAAUACAUUAGCUGCUUCACUCUUCAAAUUAUUUCAUUUUAUUUUUAGAGACAGGGUUCUCAUUCUCUCACCCAGGCUGGAGUUCAGUGGCAUGAUCACAUCUCACUGCAGCCUUGACCUACCGGGCUCAAGCAAUCCUCCUGCCUCCUACCACCCAAGUAGCUGGGAUCACAGGUGCAUGCCACUGCGCCUGGCUAUUUUUUUUUUUUUUAAUUUUUCAUGGAGACAGUAUCUCCCUAUGUUGCCCAGGCUGGUCUCGAAUUCCUGGGCUCCAGCAAUCCCCACCUUGGCCUCCCUAAGUGCUAGAAUUUUAGGUACAGGCCACCACACCUGCCCCUUCAAAAUGUUUAUAGCUUGCAUGCUACAUGUAAGACAUCCUGGGGGUACUGUGGGGGAAGAUACCAGGAAAUGAUGUCAAGAUUCAGUCUUGCACCUGGGCUAGCAAAACAUUGUAGCAGUUUUAGAAGGAAUAUUUCAUAAUCCUAUGUGGAUUAUCUGAAACUUUAGGGUAACUGUCAGAGGUUUUCUUUCUUUCUUUCUUUUCCUUUUCUUUUCUUUCUUUCUUUCUUUCUUUUUCUCUCUCUCUCUCCCUUCCUUCCUUCCUCCCUCCCUCUUUCUCUCUCCUCCUUCCUUUCUUUCUUUCUUCCUUUUUCUUUCUUUCUUUCUCUCUCUCUCUCUUUCUUUCUUUCUUUCUUUCCUUACUUUCUUUUCGACAGAGUCUUGCUCUGUUGCCCAGGCAGUGGUGC
rnacentral:lncRNA from 10 species